rnacentral:rRNA from 1 species
UACAGGGGGGGCAAGCGUUGUUCGGAAUUACUGGGCGUAAAGGGUUCGUAGGUGGCCACUUAAGUCAGACGUGAAAUCCCUCAGCUUAACUGGGGAACUGCGUCUGAUACUGGGUGGCUUGAGUGCAGGAGAGGGAUGCGGAAUUCCAGGUGUAGCGGUGAAAUGCGUAGAUAUCUGGAGGAACACCGGUGGCGAAGGCGGCAUCCUGGACCAAUUCUGACGCUGAGUGAGCGAAAGCCAGGGGAGCAAACGGG